rnacentral:rRNA from 1 species
UAGGUAAGUGCGUGGAGUGCCUACCCUAACUUGACGCGUGUCUUGUUGGGAAAGUGUUUAGUGGCAUGGGAUGGGGCCGCGUCCUAUCAGCUUGUAGGCGGGGUAAUGGCCCACCUAGGCUUCGACGGGUAGCCGGCCUGAGAGGGCGGACGGCCACAUUGGGACUGAGAUACGGCCCAGACUCCUACGGGAGGCAGCAGUA